rnacentral:lncRNA from 1 species
CUCAUAUUUUACCCCUGUACAACAACAAUCAAUGGCCAACAUGCCACUUGCACCCCCAACAAGCGUACCACCAAUGUCCCAAGCCAACCAGAUGCAAGCUCCAUUCCCUCCACCACCACCUCCCCCACCACCUCUACCCCUGGUGAAUCCACCCGCGAAACAAUAUGUCCAAUCCUCCGGUAUGAUGGUCGGAGUAAUGCCCUAUGGGUAUGGUACUACCAGCUUGCCACCUCCACCUCCCAUGCUUUCUCAUGUUCCAAUGGGUUUAUCAGCACCAGCCCCACAACCACCACAGCAGCUACAAUCUCCACAACUGCAGCAGC